rnacentral:rRNA from 1 species
AUUGAACGCUGGCGGCAGGCCUAACACAUGCAAGUCGAACGAGUGGCGGACGGGUGAGUAAUGUCUGGGAAACUGCCUGAUGGAGGGGGAUAACUACUGGAAACGGUAGCUAAUACCGCAUACCAUCAGAUGUGCCCAGAUGGGAUUAGCUAGUUGGUGGGGUAACGGCUCACCAAGGCGACGAUCCCUAGCUGGUCUGAGAGGAUGACCAGCCAAACUGGAAUUGAGAAACGUUACAGACUCCUAGGGGAGGAAGAAGUGGGAAAUAUUGGACAAUGGGCGCAAGCCUGAUGCAGAAAUGCCGCGUGGAUGAAGAAGGCCUUCGGGUUGUAAAGUACGUUCAGCGGGGAGGCGUUACCCGAAGAAGAAGCACCGGCUAACUCCGUGCCAGCAGCCGCGGUAAUUC